GACGAACGCUGGCGGCGUGCCUAAUACAUGCAAGUCGAACGAACCGCGACUAGGUGCUUGCACUUGGUCAAGGUGAGUGGCGAACGGGUGAGUAACACGUGGGUAACCUACCUCAUAGUGGGGGAUAACAGUCGGAAACGACUGCUAAUACCGCAUAGGACAUGGAAUCACAUGAUUCUGUGAGGAAAGGUGGCGCAAGCUAUCGAUAAGAGAUGGACCCGCGGUGCAUUAACUAGCUGGUAGCGUAACGGCCUACCAAGGCGAUGAUGCAUAGCCGACCUGAGAGGGUGAUCGGCCACCUUGGGACUGAGAC
rnacentral:rRNA from 1 species